UGCAUCUGAAGCUUAUGAGGAUGAGAAUCUCCGGGGAAGGAGGUUCGACUCGAGCAAAGCGAGAGAACGUUGCUUUAGCAACGGCCCGAAGGGCGAGUCACGCAGUGGCGAGUCAUCCUCUCUCGCCGACCA
rnacentral:sRNA from 1 species